GAACGCACAUUGCGCCCUCUGGUAUUCCGGGGGGCAUGCCUGUUCGAGCGUCAUUACAACCCUCAAGCCUGGCUUGGUAUUGGGCGCCCGUCCCCCGGGACGCGCCUGGAAAGCAGCGGCGGUGCGGCCGGUGAUCGAGCGUAGUAACGACUCCCGCUUCGAGCCACCCGGGCGUUCCAGCCGGACAACAUCUCUUUUUCAACGGUUGACCUCGGAUCAGGUAGGGAUACCCGCUGAACUUAAG
rnacentral:misc_RNA from 1 species